rnacentral:rRNA from 1 species
UUGAACGCUGGCGGCAUGCCUUACACAUGCAAGUCGAACGGUAACAGGUUAAGCUGCCGCGUGGCGAACGGGUGAGUAAUGUAUCGGAACGUGCCCAGUCGUGGGGUAUAACUGCUCGAAAGAGCAGCUAAUACCGCAUACGACCUGAGGGUGAAAGCGGGGGAUCGCAAGACCUCGCGCGAUUGGAGCGUCCGAUAUCAGAUUAGGUAGUUGGUGAGGUAAAGGCUCACCAAGCCGACGAUCUGUAGCUGGUCUGAGAGGACGACCAGCCACACUGGGACUGAGACACGGCCCAGACUCCUACGGGAGGCAGCAGUGGGGAAUUUUGGACAAUGGGCGCAAGCCUGAUCCAGCCAUGCCGCGUGCGGGAAGAAGGCCUUCGGGUUGUAAACCGCUUUUGUCAGGGAAGAAAAGGUUCUGGCUAAUACCUGGGACUCAUGACGGUACCUGAAGAAUAAGCACCGGCUAACUACGUG